UCGUAUGAAUGCUACCCUAGACGCCAUGGAAAAUGGGGCCGAAGAAGCAAACCAGAAGUUUUUAACAUCUUACUUCUGCGGAAACUGACAGGCAAAAGGAAGGUAGCAGGACGAAUCUUUGGAGAGAAUGCUUGAGGCGCCGAAGCCGCAAGCGUCACCUACGAGGCGAGAACCAACUAGGUAAAAGGACAGAGAG
rnacentral:ncRNA from 1 species